rnacentral:lncRNA from 1 species
UGUAUCUGGGACGUUCGGUAGGAUCUCAGGUAACGAUCCGGAAUAGUUGGUAGCACGCGCCAUGGUAAAGGUAGAGCGAGCUCUGAUUUUAGAUCAGCCCCCCAACUGUCGUAUGACCCGACGGUCGAGAGCUUAAGUCGAGCGCCCGUUGCCCAGACCUAAGUCGGGCAUGUUCGUCGAGUCGGGCAUCGUCCGUCCUUCGGGCAUAACUCUUUGACCC